AAGGGAGCUUGCUCCCGGAUGUUAGCGGCGGACGGGUGAGUAACACGUGGGUAACCUGCCUGUAAGACUGGGAUAACUCCGGGAAACCGGAGCUAAUACCGGAUAGUUCCUUGAACCGCAUGGUUCAAGGAUGAAAGACGGUUUCGGCUGUCACUUACAAAUGGACCCGCGGCGCAUUAGCUAGUUGGUGAGGUAACGGCUCACCAUGGCGACGAUGC
rnacentral:rRNA from 1 species